rnacentral:rRNA from 1 species
AGAGUUUGAUCCUGGCUCAGGACGAACGCUGGCGGCGUGCUUAACACAUGCAAGUCGAACGAGGCCCCUUCUUCGGGAGGGUGUUCUAGUGGCGAACGGGUGAGUAACACGUGGGCAACCUGCCCCCGGCUCUGGGAUAACUCCAAGAAAUUGGGGCUAAUACCGGAUGUGACCGCUGGCCGCAUGGUCUGGUGGUGGAAAGGGUUUCCGGCUGGGGAUGGGCCCGCGGCCUAUCAGCUUGUUGGUGGGGUAGUGGCCUACCAAGGCGACGACGGGUAGCCGGCCUGAGAGGGUGACCGGCCACACUGGGACUGAGACACGGCCCAGACUCCUACGGGAGGCAGCAGUGGGGAAUAUUGCGCAAUGGGCGGAAGCCUGACGCAGCGACGCCGCGUGGGGGAUGACGGCCUUCGGGUUGUAAACCUCUUUCAGCAGGGACGAAGCGUAAGUGACGGUACCUGCAGAAGAAGCACCGGCCAACUACGUGCCAGCAGCCGCGGUAAUACGUAGGGUGCAAGCGUUGUCCGGAAUUAUUGGGCGUAAAGAGCUCGUAGGCGGUUCGUCGCGUCGGCUGUGAAAACCCGGAGCUCAACUCCGGGCCUGCAGUCGAUACGGGCGGACUUGAGUUCGGCAGGGGAGACUGGAAUUCCUGGUGUAGCGGUGAAAUGCGCAGAUAUCAGGAGGAACACCGGUGGCGAAAGGCGGGUCUCUGGGCCGAUACUGACGCUGAGGAGCGAAAGCGUGGGGAGCGAACAGGAUUAGAUACCCUGGUAGUCCACGCCGUAAACGUUGGGCGCUAGGUGUGGGGGCCAUUCCACGGUCUCCGUGCCGCAGCUAACGCAUUAAGCGCCCCGCCUGGGGGAGUACGGCCGCAAGGCUAAGACUCAAAGGAAUUGACGGGGGCCCGCACAAGCGGGCGGAGCAUGUUGCUUAAUUCGAUGCAACGCGAAGAACCUUACCUAGGCUUGACAUGCACGGAAAUCUUCGCAGAGAAUAGCGGGGUCCGGUCAAGGGCCGUUGCACAGGUGGUGCAUGGUUGUCGUCAGCUCGUGUCGUGAGAUGUUGGGUUAAGUCCCGCAACGAGCGCAACCCUCGUUCCAUGUUGCCAGCGCGUGAUGGCGGGGACUCAUGGGAGACUGCCGGGGUCAACUCGGAGGAAGGUGGGGAUGACGUCAAAUCAUCAUGCCCCUUAUGUCUAGGGCUGCAAACAUGCUACAAUGGCCGGUACAAAGGGCUGCGAUACCGUGAGGUGGAGCGAAUCCCAAAAAGCCGGUCUCAGUUCGGAUUGGGGUCUGCAACUCGACCCCAUGAAGUUGGAGUCGCUAGUAAUCGCAGAUCAGCAACGCUGCGGUGAAUACGUUCCCGGGCCUUGUACACACCGCCCGUCACGCCACGAAAGUCGGUAACGCCCGAAGCCGGUGGCCCAACCCCUUGUGGGAGGGAGCCGUCGAAGGCGGGAUCGGCGAUUGGGACGAAGUCGUAACAAGGUAGCCG